rnacentral:rRNA from 1 species
CAUGUAGGCGGCUUAAUAAGUCAAGCGUGAAAAUGCGGGGCUCAACCCCGUAUGGCGCUGGAAACUGUAAGGCUUGAGUGCAGGAGAGGAAAGGGGAAUUCCCAGUGUAGCGGUGAAAUGCGUAGAUAUUGGGAGGAACACCAGUGGCGAAGGCGCCUUUCUGGACUGUGUCUGACGCUGAGAUGCGAAAGCCAGGGUAGCGAACG